rnacentral:rRNA from 1 species
CCUACGGGAGGCAGCAGUGGGGAAUAUUGGACAAUGGGCGAAAGCCUGAUCCAGCCAUGCCGCGUGUGUGAAGAAGGCCUUCGGGUUGUAAAGCACUUUCAGUGGGGAAGAAAGCCUUGGGGCUAAUACCCUCGAGGAAGGACAUCACCCACAGAAGAAGCACCGGCUAACUCCGUGCCAGCAGCCGCGGUAAUACGGGAGGGUGCGAGCGUUAAUCGGAAUUACUGGGCGUAAAGCGCGCGUAGGCGGUCUGAUAAGCCGGUUGUGAAAGCCCCGGGCUCAACCUGGGAACGGCAUCCGGAACUGUCAGGCUAGAGUGCAGGAGAGGAAGGUAGAAUUCCCGGUGUAGCGGUGAAAUGCGUAGAGAUCGGGAGGAAUACCAGUGGCGAAGGCGGCCUUCUGGACUGACACUGACGCUGAGGUGCGAAAGCGUGGGUAGCAAACAGGAUUAGAUACCCCAGUAGUC